GUUAAAUGACUGAUUCUUCAGCUUUUGGUCGUGUUCCAUUUCUGAUACCUUCCUUACACACUGCAUCUGGGAACAGCAAGAGUCACGUGUGAACGCCUCGGGCCUCGCCAUAUAGUAGCUCUCUUCAUCUACUCGGUGACUUCAUGUGGCAGUCUUUUUAUUCGGAGGAGGAAACUGAGGCAUGGGUGAUUAAGUGAAUUUCCAAGGCCACAGGAAGACAACACCGGGCCCAUUGAGUACCGCACUAGGUUUUUACCCUCCCAGGACAGUUUCUGAACAUAUUUUGCCUUGAAUAAUAGUUCUUUUUAUUCUUAUGUGAACUAUUUGAUGACAGGGACCCGUGAACUGUCAGGGCGCGGUGUUGAGUGUGAUGGUCACCUCUGCCUGUCUAGAGACAAGCAAGAUGGUUUAAACUCCGUUCCUAAGGCUUCUUUGUAGCUGUUGGAACUGAAGUCGUACUGAUUGUAAUAUCAUUAACUGACAACUAUGUGGGGCUUAUGUUUUGGAUCCUGUUCUGAAUACGUUCCCUCCAGUGACCCAUUUAACCAUUGUUAUCCUUUGGGGAGGGUAUCUGGACCCACUUUCCAGGGGAGAACCUUGAGUCUGCCUUCUGCCAUCUGCUACCACAUCUAGAGGAGGCCUCAGCCGAUUCAGUUCCAGAAUCUAGAUAUUCUUCAUCCAGGAGAGUCUUUUCCUGACUCUGGGCACUGUCUUGGGUCCUUUCUUUUUACUAGAUUUAGUCUAAUUAUAGUCAGAUGAGUUCUUGCUUCUGUGUGAUCCCCUCUUUGAUGGAUACAAGAAGGCCAGUUUCCCAAACUCCCUUGUGAUCUUGGCUUUCCGGAACCCAGGUAUAAAGCCCGUCAUGGUGGUGCAGCAGAGAAAGAGAGAGCUUGUUGAGCCCAACCAGCAUGCCCCAGGUCCCAAAAUAAGUGGAAAUUUGUAUCCUGGGAUUGUGGACAGGAAGCAGAAUGAAGAUGUUCUAACCACAGAACACUUGCAAAGGAUUUCCCACCGUAAGCAGCUCUCAUCUGUGCUGUGUGAGGGGAAAAUGAGCGCUCCUUCUGAAAAGCAAAUGCUACUGUACUUUCCACCGGGCCUUGAUUUGUUAUUAAACUCCAGUGACUAUUAUGUGAGCCAACAGCUGCAAUAGCACAAA